GGAGCAACAAUGACAUGGACAACAGGUGAACUGAGUAUGUGACUCCACAAGUGGGGUGGGGAUGAAAGGAAGGGGUGGCCUGGUCUGAGAGACCAGAGUUUGUUUGUGUGUGUAGUGCACAAGGUGGC